UACGGAGGGUGCUAGCGUUGUUCGGAAUCACUGGGCGUAAAGGGCGUGUAGGCGGCCUGCUAAGUCUGAUGUGAAAUCCCCUCGCUCAACGAGGGAACUGCGUCGGAUACUGGCAGACUCGAGUACCGGAGAGGAAGGUGGAAUUCCCGGUGUAGCGGUGGAAUGCGUAGAGAUCGGGAAGAACAUCAGUGGCGAAGGCGGUCUGCUGGGCCGUUGCUGACGCUGAGGCGCGACAGCGUGGGGAGCAAACAGG
rnacentral:rRNA from 1 species